rnacentral:lncRNA from 1 species
UGAUUUAUAUGGAGAUACUCGAGUCCAGCAGCUAUUCCCAUUGCAAUUCGGUGACGUGCAGACCAAUCUAGUUCCCGUGUCCCCUCUCUGACUUGCUGGAGGGUAUCCUGUAAGCUCCCAUUUUUCAUGUACUCAUAGACCAAGUAAUGGCAGUCUGGUCUUGGCAUAUGUGCCAGUAGGGGAAGCAAAUUCCGGUGUCUGAUUUGACCUACAAUUUUGAUUUCUGAUUUAAUCUGGCGCAUUUUCUUACUCAUAGCCUUGCUAUCUUCCUCAGUGAGUUCUGCAGCAUCCCUUGGUGGUUGUAUGAUCUUCUUUACGGCUAUAAUCUUUCCGUCACUUCCAGGUAACGCAGCUUUAUAAACUUUUCCACAUCCACCUUGCCCAAUGAGUUCUAGUGAUUCCAAUCCAUCUUCGUUCUCCAGAAAGGCCAAGUGCUCGGCUUUCUUAAUCAAUGGACUGAAAAUUGUUAAGCCUGAAUCAUUUCUGAUCCCUCUGAUUAAAAACAUAAGCACCUUGAAGAGGACAGAGAAGACCAACGCCGAUAAGCCCCCAGCGAAAACUCCAGCAAAGAAUCCAAGAAUCCAGGCGCCUACCUUCCUUCUGAUCUUGUUGUGUUUGUCUUUUUUUACUGGUACUACAACUGUAC